rnacentral:lncRNA from 1 species
AAGUGCGUUGAAAAACUGAAUUAAAGACCUACAAUUCUUCUUGCAAAUCAAAUUUUCCAAUUCAAACGUUUUCCACCCUAAAAAGGGGUCUCAAAUUGAGGUUGAAAAUUCGGAGCACAAUUUUUUCGGCUGGAAAUUGAUUUGUCAAAAUGCUUCAACUUUAUUUCAUUCCUUUGACCUUCAAUAGCAUCCAAUUGAUAUCAUAUGAUCUUCGAUCGUUGUUUUAUGGUCCAAAUUAACUAGUGGAUGUUUACACUUUGGUCCCCAAACUUUCGAAUUCCUUUGUGUACACUAUUUUCUCUUGUAAUUUUGUUCAUUUAUCUUCCAAUUGUAUCCAAUUAAAUCCUUGACAUCCUCGAUCUUUAUUUUGUCGCCUUCUCAUCUAUGGAUUGUUUGUAAUUUAGUUCCCGAAUUUUGGAUUUUGCC